UGUGGGAGCUGGCUUGCCUGCGAUAGGGGUGUGUCAGGCAACUGAUUUGUUACUGGUCCACCGCCAUCGCAGGCAAGCCAGCUCCCACA
rnacentral:misc_RNA from 1 species